UUCGAUUACAAACCUGUUACUUUCAAUACGAAGGAAGUUUAAAAAAUUUUAAGUUUCUUCUUUAAUUUGUUUGUGGUUCAUGUGAUUUGUUCUUCGCAAAUGGGCAGUUAACGAACUAAGUAAUCAUUGAGAAUGUUUUUUCUUCUUCUGUUUUUAUAUAAACAUUGUUCCGAACAGAAUCAAAUAUUUCUAUUAUUGUUUAUAAUAAUUUAAAACAGCAAUGCAGAACAGAUCUAUACAAAUAUCUAUCAUCCUUGAGAAUGCCCUGCAAUGAUUCCACAGUUUUGGUUUGACCAAAUAACCUUCAAUUGACGCUUUAGAGAAGUAGAAAAAAGUCGUUUGGGCAGUCUGUAAUAUAAUAAUUUAUUAUCCUUAUUAUUAUCAGUAUGUCGGAGCAGUGCUGCGGAACAAACGUGCUGUUUAAAUAAGCACGACGGGAAUACUAGAUUGAUCUAAAAUUUAUAGCUCCUACUGCACUCCCCUUUCUCACUCUUCCCAUAUGAAUUUCUUGAUCCUCGGUAGUAUAGCAAGGCUAGAACCGAGUAAUUUAUGCUUUACCCCAAAAGGGGGCUUAAUCGUAUAAUAAUAAUAAUAAUAAUUUCAAACUGAAGCGAGCACUACCUUAGUUCAAUUAUUAAUUAUGAGCAGAAUGAAAGUCAGAUAAUAUUACAAAAAUAAUCAUCAAUGAGAAUUAGAGGAGUUUAAAAUGUUCGUAUUUCUCUCAGGAUUUAAUAUAUCCACUUACAAGCAUUCAGAUAACUCAACAAAAGUGUGACCCGAGCAUCAUGUUAAACGAGAGUAAAUUUACAUGUGAUAUCAGAUAGUACGAGUAAGCAUGGGUUUUAAUUAUUUCCUCGAGAUGAGAUUUCACCGCGGUAGCUAUUGAGCGUUAGUCUGAUGUAAAUUCCGGGAUCCCGGCUAAUCGGCAUAAUUCCACGAAAUCCGUAAUGGACUUUGGAAUCGUAGAACGUUAGUGAGCGUUAGCUGCAACAACUCCGACGGCAAAUUAGAUCUUCCUGUUCACGCGGUGACCAACUCUAAAGAGCUUAAUGCAAUAGAUUUUGCCGACUGUCCACGAAAUCUGAUCGAAGAGAAUUGCUUGGAUCUACAUUUCGUCCUGUGAUAGAUAUACUCAGUGCCACGUGAAUAAGAUUCAAGACAGAUAGUUAGAUAGUUUCCCCAAAUUGAAAUCGCCUAAGAUACUACUGCAAACACUCUAGCUUCAAAUCAAAUACAAAACGAAUAUUGAUACAAAUUCCCUUGACACGCUCUAUUAUUAAGUCCAAUACUACGGUACUUCUGAAGAUGGGUUUUAUUUACACUUGGAGUUGGACGGCGAUAUUUAAGAAAAUGUGUUUUCAUCUCUACUGAUCUGCAUCUUCCAAUAUAUAAUUUUUUCGGAAAAAAGAUUGGUCAUAGGUAAUUUGGACCUACUCUAUUAAUUGGAGCAAAAAAAAUUAAUAAUUUUAAUUGUAGAUAUACUUUAUAUA